GAUGAACGCUGGCGGCGUGCCUAAUACAUGCAAGUCGAGCGGACAGACGAGGAGCUUGCUCCUCUGACGUUAGCGGCGGACGGGUGAGUAACACGUGGAUAACCUACCUAUAAGACUGGGAUAACUUCGGGAAACCGGAGCUAAUACCGGAUAAUAUAUUGAACCGCAUGGUUCAAUAGUGAAAGACGGUUUUGCUGUCACUUAUAGAUGGAUCCGCGCCGCAUUAGCUAGUUGGUAAGGUAACGGCUUACCAAGGCAACGAUGCGUAGCCGACCUGAGAGGGUGAUCGGCCACACUGGAACUGAGGGACGGUCCAGACUCCUACGGGAGGCAGCAGUAGGGAAUUUUCCGCAAUGGGCGAAAGCCUGACGGAGCAACGCCGCGUGAGUGAUGAAGGUCUUCGGAUCGUAAAACUCUGUUAUUAGGGAAGAACAAAUGUGUAAGUAACUAUGCACGUCUUGACGGUACCUAAUCAGAAAGCCACGGCUAACUACGUG
rnacentral:rRNA from 1 species